ACUCAGGGGAAGAGAAAAAAACACGGCACCAUAAUGAUAGAACAGCCAGCCAACCUAACCUGUGGAGAUAUUGAUAUCUUGAAGCGAUGGUUAGAAGUAUGAAGGUCAUUCUCGCUAGAAUGAAUUUCUGCCAUUGCAUAUCAUUGGUUUGUUUACUUUGAAAAAAU